GACGAACGCUGGCGGCGUGCUUAACACAUGCAAGUCGAACGGAAAGGCGCGGCGCUUGUUCGGUUCUCGAUUGCCGAACGGGGGAGUAACACGUGAGUAACCUGCCCUUGACUGUGUGGUAACUUCUGGGAACAGGGGCUAAUACCGGAUAUAAUCUCCUGCUGCAUGUGGGGCAUUGGUAAAUGUCGGCGGUUGGGGCUGGACUCGCGGCUUAUCAGCUGGUUUGGGGGGUAGUGGCUUACGAGGGCUAUGACGGGUAGCCGGCCUGAGAGGGUGACCGGCCACAUGGGGACUGCGAUACGGACCAGACUCCUACGGGAGGCAGCAGUGGAGAAUAUUGCACAAUGGGCGGAAGCCUGAUGCAGCAACGCCGCGUGCGGGAUGACGGCUUUCGGGUUGUAAACAGAUUUCGCCUGUGACGAAGAGUGAGUGACGGUAAUGGGUCAAGAAGCACCGGCUAACUACGUG
rnacentral:rRNA from 1 species